UGUUGCUAUGCUAGACAUAGCAGUAAUGCAGUUAACACAGUAAGUGUGCCGCCUGGGGAGUACGGUCGCAAGAUUAAAACUCAAAGGAAUAGACGGGGACCCGCACAAGCGGUGGAGCAUGUGGUUUAAUUCGACGAUACGCGAAGAACCUUACCUGGCCUUGACAUAGGAAGAACUCGCUAGAGAUAGCUUGGUGCUAGUUCACUAGAACUUCCAUACAGGUGCUGCACGGCUGUCGUCAGCUCGUGUCGUGAGAUGUUGGGUUAAGUCCCGCAACGAGCGUAACCCUCGUGUUUAGUUACUAACAGUUCGGCUGAGGACUCUAGACAGACUGCCUGGGUAACCAGGAGGAAGGUGAGGACGACGUCAAGUCAUCAUGGCCCUUGCGGCCAGGGCUACACACGUGCUACAAUGGGGUAUACAAAGAGCCGCGAUACCGUGAGGUGGAGCAAAUCUCAUAAAAUAUCUCCCAGUUCGGAUAGUAGUCUGCAACUCGACUACUUGAAGUUGGAAUCGCUAGUAAUCGUAGAUCAGCAAUGCUACGGUGAAUACGUUCCCGGGUCUUGUACUCACCGCCCGUCACACCAUGGGAGUUGAUUUCAUUCGAAGCGGGGAUGCUAAAAUAGCUACCUUCCACAGUGGAAUUAGCGACUAGGGUGAAGUCGUAACAAGGUAGCCG
rnacentral:rRNA from 1 species